rnacentral:lncRNA from 1 species
AUGAGGCAGUGCGUGUGCCCCGCUGGUCACACAGGUGCCACGGGUGCAGCACCGGACCCAGGCGGCCACCAGCAUUUUGGGGGGAUGCUUAAAGUAGCUCCGGGUGCCCCUUGCCCAGCCUUUGGGGGUGUAAAUCCCCAGCCCACGGGGAUGGCACCAGCCCCAUGGCUUGGGCGAUGGGAAACGCCACCCAGGCCAAACCUGUCCCCGCUGUGUUUACUGCGAGGGAAGCUGCUGAAGGAGCAGGACCUGGCAGCGGGGCUCCUGGGCUCCCCCCCCAACAUCUUCUCACUAACUCCAGAGGUGGCUCUGGAGGUGGCACAGCCUCUGAGCAGCAGCUGCCCCUGUCCUCGCAGGACGGCUGCCCACGGCCCUGCUGGCAGCGUCUGCACGGGAAUGACGGAGCCAGGGGGACGACCACGGGGCUGGGGACCGAGGCACGCAGCCAGGGGCCACACGCCGGGCACCACCAGGCGCGGGACACACCUGCACCCUGCCACCCCAACGCGUCCCCGCCGGCGGCACCCACCUGUGGAAGAGCAGCAGGAUGGAGAGCAGGGUCUGGUCGAUGUUCCUGUUGCAGAUGCCCUGGUUGAAGAGGUAGCAGGGGUCCCGCACCACGGGCUCCAGCGAGUCCUGGCGCAUGAUGGAGCUCAGCUUGUCGGUGUUGAGGUUCUUGCGGACCAGCUGCUCCUGCAGCUGCCGGAAGCUGCUGACGGUGGGGCUGCCCGGGUUGUUGUUCUCGCCCCCGGCCCCCUCCUCCGGGCCGCUCCGGUUGGCCAAGUCCAGGCAGCAGCUGCAGCAGUCCAGCCCCACGGGCGAGCGGCACUCCUCGCCGGGCGACGAGGACAUCCCGCGCCCCUGCGCGCCUCCAACGCCGCCUCCAACGCCGCCGCCACCGGGGCCGCGCGGAGGGCGAGCGGCGGCAGGGGACGCGCCCGGUACCGAGCGCCGCGCACAGCCAGCCAGCCGCCCGCCCGGCCCCGGCCACGGCCNNNNNNNNNNNNNNNNNNNNNNNNNNNNNNNNNNNNNNNNNNNNNNNNNNGCCGCCCCACCCCGGGCCGCCCCGCGGGAGCCCGCCCCGCCGGCACCCGCUGCUGCCAGCCCCGGCACCGCCCCGCCCGAGGCCGCUGCCAGCCCUCCCCUGGGGGGGGGAGCCCCGCCGGUAGGCGCUGGGGACACGCGGUGCCACCCGGAGCCGCUGGCACCCCGCUGCCGCUGCGCCCCUGGGGCACCACCCUGCUGGCACCCACUGGGGGACCCGCUGGGGACCCGCGGUGGCACUAG